CUUGAGUGAAGAAAAGAAGGGAUAUGCAGCUGUUUCCCAAAACCCACCACCUCCACCUGGCAGGGAUGAGAUCCAGAAUAGCCUGAACUCAAAACUGUACCCAUCUCCUGGAGAUGUCAACAAGCUGCAUCAGGAAGGGCCACCCUGUGCCCGCAUGGAAGCAGUAAAAGACCCGAGCCUACAUCCAGCAUCUCAGGAGCUCCUUACUGCAGGGGAAAGUAGGCCAGAGAACAGUCGUGGGAGCCAUGGCUCCCCUGAGAAUGUGCGUGGAGAGGAAGAGGUAGAGAGCAAUAGCUACCCUGAGGGGGGUGUUCCAUCCGCUACCUGGUUGGCCCAGUUCAACAAAGUAGGUCAGGCCACCCAAUGUGAUAUGAGUUGGUGGUAUGAGGUACAGUCUGAAAAUUCCCCUGAGUCUUCACCAGGAAGUGGGAGAAAGGGAGCAGAGCAGCUGUCAGUGGGGAGCAGGAACCAGGAUGAAGUUGGUGAGGUAGAGAACAACGGCUGCGAGGGGCACGUUCCCUCCCCUACCUGGUCGGCCCAGUUUACCAAAGUAGAAGAGGGCAUCCAGUGCGACAUGAAUUGGUAUGAAGCACAGGUAGAGAAAUCCCCCCAGCAAAUGCCCUCCAGAGAUGAAGGGACCUCACCAGACUGCAAAACCAAGGGGUCAUGGAGAAAGCCAGUCACAAGUAGGAAAUUAAGUGCAGACAAAGAUGAAGUGAUGGUGAAUGAUGACAUUGGGGAGGUGCAUAAAGAGAACUUGAAAAGGUGUGCGAAGACUAAAAAGACUGUGCAAGGCAGGAAGCUGAAAGACCUGAGCAGCGUCUCAAAUGUUAAGACAGCCUAUCUGCUGCAGAAAAGCGCUGCCUUGACCAUCGUGCUUCCUGAGGAUUCAGAAGACUCUGAGUUGGAAGCUGAAGAUGUAAUGCACGAGGCAGAAUGCCUCCUUGAAGAAGUGAGUCCACAGGGCCCUCUGACAUCUUCCAAAGGAAGGUCUUAUCUGAAGGCUGGAAGGAUAAUCAGGAUGCCACCUGAGUGCUCUGUCCCUCCCCAACUUAUGGUCUGGCCCACCAGAAAUAAGUACAGGUUAUUACAAGCUGGUGGUGAAUAUGAGUACGUCGUCCCUGUGGUUUACCAGCUGAAACGACAGGAUGGCUAUGAAAACAGUGGUGUCACCCUCCGAAGAAAACACACUAUGCCCAAGCCAGAGGGACUGGAGUCCAGGAGAGCCUCUCACAAACCACUGGAAUGAAACAAAUUGCUGAGUUCCAGCUUCAAGGAAGAGCUAAAUAUUGCAUCAUCAUGAUGGAUUAGAACAUGUGAUCUCUUUCUUGAUUUGAACUACUAAAGUUAUACCAACAAACAAGAAAAUGUGACAUUGUAAAGUCUUUGGAAUUAAAAGUUGUAAAACAGCAAGUAAGUUG
rnacentral:lncRNA from 1 species